rnacentral:tRNA from 1 species
GGUUCUAUAGUGUAGUGGUGAUCACUCCGGAUUUUGAUUCCGGCAACCCCGGUUCGAACCCGGGUAGGACCU